rnacentral:ncRNA from 2 species
AACGGACUUCAGGGCGGGGUGAAACUCCCCACCGGUGGUAAAAGCCUAGCUUGAGCCCACGAGCGCCUUAGUCUCUACUUUUAUGAGUAGUGGUUAAGGGACAGCAGAUCUGGUGUGAAUCCAGAGCCGACGGUUAUAGUCCGGAUGAAAGAAGUGACAC